GAGGGAAGAGAGAAGGGAGAGAGAAGGGAGAGAGAAGGGAGGGGGAAGGGAAAUCCGGUCGGGGCAACCGGUCACCGGAGGCUCGUCGGCGCCGGCCACCGUACACGGUUGCCGGAAAGUUAAGGUUUCAACACCCAUCAUCACCGGCGAUUCACCGUGCCGAACGGAAAGGGGAGCGGCCACGGGGUAGAUCCGGGCAUGGGCAUGGACAAUGGGGUGUGUGAUGGUCUUUGGCAGACAA